CCUACGGGUGGCUGCAGUCAAGAAUAUUCCACAAUGGCCGAAAGGCUGAUGGAGCGACGCCGCGUGUAGGAUGAAGGCCUUCGGGUCGUAAACUACUUUUACAGGGGACGAAUUCGUGACGGUACCUUGUGAAUAAGAGGUUGCUAACUCUGUGCCAGCAGCAGCGGUAAUACAGAGACCUCAAGCGUUAUCCGGAUUUAUUGGGCGUAAAGCGUCCGCAGGUGGCAUGGCGGGUCAAGGGUGAAAACUCUGUGCUUAACACAGAGGUUGCCUUUGAAACUACCAUACUCGAGGACGGGAAAGGCACGCGGAAUUCUCGGUGUAGUCGUAAUAAGCGUUGACAUCGAGAAGAACACCAAAGGCGAAGGCAGCGUGCUGGAACGUACCUGACACUCAUGGACGAAAGCGUGGGGAGCGAACAGGAUUAGAUACCCUUGUAGUC
rnacentral:rRNA from 1 species